GGUCGGGUAACACAGCAGGUAGUGUGCCCCGCUGUUAACGGGGAAGUCCUAGGUUCGAGUCCUAGCCCGACCGCCA
rnacentral:tRNA from 1 species